rnacentral:rRNA from 1 species
UGCUCUUUCUGCAAACAGGUGGAAACGGUGAAGCACUUGUUCUUUACUUGUCCCGUGGCCAGAAUUGUUUGGCGAUCCAUUGGAGUAGCUCUUGGCAGUGAUAGAUGCCCAUCGAAUUACUGGCAAUACUUUGUGUGGUGCCACAAAUUCCUUCCUGGGAAGCAAAAGUUUCAUACGGUGGGACUGGCGGCCGUAUGUUGGGACAUUUGGUUGGCACGCAAUCGAGCUACUUUUGAAAAACAAAUUAAGACUCCUUUUGAGAUUGUGUUUUCUCUAUGUUCCUUUCUAUUAUAUUGGACAGGGCUUCAACAAGGAGAGGACGCUAAGGAUCUUCGCGCUGGAGCUGAGAUGAUCAGGACUGGGACGAUGCAGGUGAUGAAGAUGUGUGGUGCUAUCAAGAAACCAAUCCAAGGUGCCUGA